rnacentral:tRNA from 1 species
AGUGUGUUAGCUCAGUGGGUAGAGCUGAGGGCUGGCGACUGGGAGGUCCGGGUUCGAAUCCGCAAGAGGCAA